rnacentral:rRNA from 1 species
UUAGGAAUAUUCGUCAAUGGGGGAAACCCUGAACGAGCAAUGCCGCGUGAACGAUGACGGUCCUCUGGAUUGUAAAGUUCUGUUGUUUGGAAAAAAUGACUAUUUUAGGAAAUGAUAAUAGUUUGAUGGUACCAUUCAAGAAAGCCACGACUAACUACGUGCCAGCAGUCGCGGUAAUACGUAGGUGGCAAGCGUUAUCCGGAUUUAUUGGGCGUAAAGCGUCCGCAGCCGGUUUAUUAAGUGUAGAAUUAAAGCCCGAGGCUCAACCUCGGAUCGUUCUACAAACUGAUAGGCUAGAGUGUGGUAGAGGCAAGUGGAAUUUCUAGUGUAGCGGUAGAAUGCGUAGAUAUUAGAAGGAACACCGGUGGCGAAGGCGACUUGCUAGGCCACCACUGACGGU